rnacentral:rRNA from 1 species
UGGCUCAGGACGAACGCUGGCGGCGUGCCUAACACAUGCAAGUCGAGCGGAGUCAGUAAGAGGAAGUUUCGGAUGGAAUCUGUUGAUUAGCGGCGGACGGGUGAGUAACGCGUGAGCGACCAACCUUGCACAGGGGGAUAACGGACCGAAAGGUUCACUAAUACCGCAUGAGACCACGGUGUUGCAUGACACAGAGGUCAAAGGAGCAAUCCGGUGCAAGACGGGCUCGCGUCCGAUUAGGUAGUUGGAGGGGUAACGGCCCACCAAGCCUAUGAUCGGUAGCCGACCUGAGAGGGUGAUCGGCCACAUUGGAACUGAGAUACGGUCCAAACUCCUACGGGAGGCAGCAGUGGGGAAUAUUGGGCCAAUGGGGGAAACCCUGACCCAGCAACGCCGCGUGAAGGAAGAAGGUUUUCGGAUUGUAAACUUCUGUCCUUGGUGAAGAGAAGAAGACGGUAGCCAAGGAGGAAGCCCCGGCUAACUACGUGCCAGCCGCGGC